UUAUUUACUAGGGUUUCUCUAAGGGAUAUAAAUACUCUCAAAGGCCCUAUCUCAGGACAAUUUGCUCUCUGCGCAGCGUUAUUCGGACUACUCAAGGGUUCUGGAAGCAAGGAAGCGAACAAACAUAGCCACCCAAUCACCAUGAGAGCCAAGUGGAAGAAGAAGCGCAUGAGGAGGUUGAAGCGGAAGCGCCGAAAGAUGAGGCAGCGAUCCAAGUAGUUCUAUUAUCAAUAAAUUGUCGUUUUCUGUCUAAUGGUUGGUGAUUAGAGAUUCGUUGUGUUCUCCGUUUUUUAUGUUUGUACUAAAGCUCUGAAAACUUUGGAAUUCUGUACUACUUAAUGAGAUUUUAAUACUUUUAAACUAAGGUUAUAGUGAUGAGGAAUUCGAGUUGUAUCUCGUAACCUGAAUGCACAAUUUGGUUAUUUCCGAUUUAUAUUUGUUGUCUUUGAUACUC